ACGAUUAAUUGUCUGAAGCCAACUUCAUUGCCAAGUGGCAGAAACUUCUUAGAGGCUUCAGAAAAAUAAGCUGACAAUCAAAAUCCCUCAGGAUUUUUCCAUUUUAUGAGGCACUCUAGAGAAAGGAGCAUACACAAAAACAUGCGCAAUGGAGGGAGUGGUAAUGAAAGAAGAGGAGGAGACUGUGACAUACGCUGCAGGAGAUGUCCCUUCUUUUUCCUCAUCUUCGAGCUUCCAACCGCAGCCAAGGGAAGGGCUGCACGAUGUGGGUCCACCUCCAUUUCUGACCAAGACUUAUGAAAUGGUGGAAGACCCAUCAACGGACUCCGUGGUUUCGUGGAGCAGAGGUUUCAAUAGCUUCAUCGUUUGGGACUGUCAUAAGUUCUCCACUACUCUGCUUCCUAAGUACUUCAAGCAUAGUAACUUCUCCAGCUUCAUUCGCCAGCUCAACACUUAUGGAUUCAGAAAGGUCGACCCUGAUCUAUGGGAAUUUGCAAAUGAAGGGUUUUUGAGAGGGCAGAAGCAUCUGCUGAAAACCAUCAAGAGGAGAAGACACGUUUCGCAAAGUAUGAAACAGCAAAGUGGAAGACUUUGUGUUGAAGUGGGAGAAUUUGGAUGGGACGGUGAGGUAGAAAGAUUAAAAAGAGAUCGAAAUGUGCUAAUGGCAGAAAUCGUGAAGCUUAGGCAGCAACAACAGCAGUCAAGAGAAACAAUUGCUGCAAUGGAGGAUAGGUUGCAAACUACAGAGAGAAAACAACAGCAGAUAAUGAUAUUUCUUGCUAAAGCUCUCAACAAUCCAUUAUUUAUCCACCAAUUAUCUCAGAGGAGAACACAAAGGAGAGAACUAAGAGGUGUUGAAAUUGGGCGCAAAAGGAGAUUAACAGCAAGUCCGAGUGUGGAAAAUCUGCAAGACGAAGUGGCUUCCAUGGCAAUGGGUGUUGGCCAAGUUGUGGAUUACACAAACCAAGAACCGGGAACCAUAGAAGCAGAGAUAGAUACAUUCUUCUCAGCUGCCUUGGAUGAUGAAUCAAGCAGUGAUGUCAGGGAUCCAGUAGCAGGUUCUACACAAGGGAGUAGCGUGGACAAUUUGGGUUCCGUGAAUGAGACUAUUUUAGAGGAGUUGCUGAAUGAUGAUACAAUUGGUGGCAAUCCCAGUGAAGAAGUUAUCUCUGAUGAUGAACCAGAAUUUGAAGCUGAAGUUGAGGAUUUGGCUGCAAAACCUGCAGACUGGGGUGAGGAAUUUCUAGACCUUGUGGAUCAAAUGGGUUAUCUAAAGUCAAAGCCAUGAUAUAUAGAAGAAAAUUGUUUCUGAUACAGCAGGGAAUGGUGAAAGUUGCACUGGGGCCAACAGAUGUUCCAAUUCUUUCUGCAGGCUGGCCAAGGAAGAUCGUUAGGGAGAGGGUUUCCAUUUCAAUCCAAGGCUCGCAUACGGAGGUCCUGGACUCUACCUGGUGUUUAUGGGUGUUAGUUCAACGCUUUGCAAGUUUCUGUAAAUUCCACUGCUCUACAUGUACAACAAACAACAAACUAGAUAGAAAAAUACUUUUUUAAGUCAUUAAUUAAAAUUAGUAAUGUAAAUUUGUCUGA